ensembl:lncRNA
GCGUUUUUUACCACGACUGCCGGCUUUUCUCUCUCUCCCUUCCUCCCUUUCGCUCUCCCCCUUCUUUUUUUUCUGAAUGGGUGUCCUCUCUCUAACCUCUCAAUUCACAGCAGCAUUGAAACAGGACACUAUCCUGAUCACUGAUAGGCUGCGGGCAAAUCGCUCAGCCCCUGAACCGGACACUAUAAGUACUCUGGUAGUCCGUCUCCAGUGUAUGACUGACUGUUUAGUGUGAGAGAGAGUAGGAGGGGGUGGUAGAGAGUUUAAAUUCAGUGACAGUGAUAACAAUGAUAUUAUUCGUUCUCCGCUGAAACGGGGAAGCACUUUCAGAGUCUACGGCGUGCUUCCUCUGUCUCUAUCGCUUUAAGACUGUUACUGAUUAGUCGCUAAAGAAUGCGAGUGGAAAGAGAGAGAAAAAAAAAGAGACAUAGGCAGAAGGGAGAGACAGACUGAGAGCAUUGGAGUCUGGAACUCGUAUGGAGAAGACUGAUAAUACUGAGCUGAGUAGAGUUUUGUUUUUUAUUUUCCAGCAGUACAGAGACGUUAAUGGAGCUCUGACUCUCUUUCGGUGUAUUUGCGGCUCUUGAAGAGGCUGAACGAAGGGGGAAGUCAAGGACCCCGCACAUGCAGGCAGCGCUCAGCCAUGAGGAAAUACUCUUUUCACCCAGACAGAGGUUAUCCAGACAGGCUCAAUCUAUUCAGAUCACAUGAUGCUUCAUUUCAAUAUAGGUCAUUCAUGUGAAGUCGCAGACUGGGGUUUCUCCUUAGGAGCAGACAAUAGUGUUGCAGCAGGAAACACAUAUCUCCCUCGAGAGCUUCACGGCAUGCUCCCUCACCCUGAUGUAGCGCCACACACAAGAAAAUAAAAAAAUGGAGCAAAUUAGGAAGAGUUAAUAGGGUGGUAGAUGCAUGUAUAUUUAUAAUUUUAUCACAUUAAUUGUUUAGUUUACUUAAAGCAUGGCUUUUGGGAUUUACGUCUUUAAAUAGUGUCCGUUCGUGCAUUUAAUUUUCAGAGCCCAUUGUUGGUGCUGCCAGAAAAAAUACAAUAGUAAUGUAAAUGGAACAGAAUGAAACAAUAUAGCUGUCAACAUCAGCUGUCACUCUGCAAAUGAAACAGCAAAUUUUGACAGAGUUUUUAAUCCCUAGAAUCCAAAGCACUUUACGGUCAACAAAGCAGACAGUCAGUAUUUCAUUUAAACCGCAUAAUCAUAACUCUAGCAUAGCAUAAACUAAGCCCACGUUUACAAGACACAACAACACAGAGAUCCAUUCUACAAGCACCAUUCUAUUAAGGCCACUCUCACAUGACAGUUCACUGCUCACUAAAUGGCCUUAACUGUUUCAAAAACACUCUCUUAGAAAAGGGUACUGUGUCCGUACCAUGGUACAGUGAUAGAUAGAUCUUGUCAUUCUUUGAAAUAUGGGUCAAUGGUGUGACGCUCAUUUUUUGUUUUUAUCUUUAAUUUAUUUUUUUUGUGUGUCUACACUACUGUUUAGAUUUGUAUUUUUUUUUAAGUCUGUUUUGUUCUCCAAGGCUGCAUUUACAUGAUCAAAAAAUACAUUAAAACAGUAAUAUUAAUAUAUUAGUGAAAUAAUAGUGAAAUGUUAAUAUAUUUUAAAAUGUAGUUUAUUCCUGUGAUGACAAAGCUGAAUUUUAGUAGUCAUUUAGUAACUCCAGUCUUCACUAUCACAUGAUCCUUCAGAAAUUAUUCUAAUAUGCUGAUUUGGUGCUCAAGAAACCCUUCUUAUAACAGCUUAGCUGCUUAAUAUUUUUGUGGAAACAAAAGAUACGUUUUUUCCAGGAUUCUUUAAUGAAUAGAAAAUUUUAAAAGAAAAUUUAUAAUUUGUUUGGAAUAGAAUUAGUAACAAUGUAAUGUCUUUUACCAUUCUGGAAUCAAACAGACACAAUUAGUCCAUCCUUGUUCGAUAAAAACCAUCAGUAGUUCUCUGACAUCAUGCAGUCACUGUCCCAUGGACUAAUCAGACUACUUACAGAGGGCCGAACACUGACAGUGAGCAGGGACAGAGCAUUGGAAUUCAGGUUAGGAAUGAACUCCCUAAUGGAGAAAAAUUGGAGUCAAGUGACCAUCAGCUGGUCGAAGUAUGUUUGAUCAAUACAGUCACAAGGUCUCAGGUAUGCAGAGCUGGAGCCUUUACAGGAGGGUGCAAAGACGGCCUACAGUGUCUGCAUGCUCCUGUCAGUCAAGCUUUAUUAUUAACCAGUACAAUAUUCUUUUACAUAAAUUGCCUUAAACGCUCAGCAUCCUUGCCAACAGGAAGUAUUUAGCACUAUAUGUGAGUCACUCUCUUUUGUUUGUCUAGCUGAGGAUGAUUUAAUUAGUCACCGACCCAAUCAAAGUGCACCUUUGGUGGCAAACAAGCACCCACUUUUAAUUAAUAAGACUUGAAUUGAGUGCUCUGAAUGAUGUAGCCUAAUGCGUGCCAAACCACUAAGUGGAUUCGAGAAAUAAUAGUCGCAAAACCAGGCUUACAUUUUCAUGAUAUCUAACAGCCUUAACACAAUACUCUGGUCAAACAAAGGUUUAUGGUACUGUUUGUUAUGAGAAAAAAAGCACAAAGCAGGUCUGGUUAGGUUAAAAGGGUGUGAUAUGAGCACCUUUAAAACGGGUCGGAGCCAUAGCCUCUGUCUGCCUGUCUCCAGGCUAAUGGGAAAGAAUGAGAAAUAUUUGCGAGAGUGCUAACGCCAUGCUUAAAAAUGCCCAUCGGGAGAUUAGCUCCCCCUCCCCUGUGCUGCCUGUCUGUGUGCUGCAAGCAAAAAGGAGGGCUUUUGUCGUCCUCUGGAGUUGCAGACACUUUGAUAUGGGGUUGUCUAACCAUUUGCUUCUUUGUCUCUGUCUUCCUCAGGCACUGAGGACAGCUCAAGUGGACUGCCGCUGCCAGUGGCUUGUUAGGGUGCUUAUGAGGUGCUCAGUAGUCAGUGUAGAUCCUGUGUUGCAAUCAGCAGCUACAUCUGGCUACUGGGUCUCUGAUGGCAUUUGCUGCUUCCUGUUGGCACAUUCCUUUCAGAUUGUGUGGUAUGUUAUCACAAUGUGUGCCUCAUCCUGUCAGAACAGGACUCGCUCUUUCAUGGAUGUUAAAGAGGGCCCUUGUCACAACAGCUGGUCUCUUCGACCAGACAGAUUUGGUGGUGUUUCUGCACCUUUAGCCUAGUUCAUUGUUGAUGGGGUUUUUUUUUCUUCGUUUUUUUCCUCGAAAAUGUUUUAUCAAGGUGAGUGAACUGUCAAAGUGUAGUUUGUCUCGAGAAACCAUUUCAGACAUCUUUGAAAGGAAGGACUGAGACAUUGUUUCUCGUUUGACUGCUGAAGAUUCAGUUUAAGUGAUUAGGUAACAAAGGACAAGGCAACAUGUCACAUUCUCUUUGUGAUUUGCCUGUCACAAGGGGCUGUCUUUGUGCAAAUGUUUUUGAGUUGUUGAAGGCUGACAAAUAAUGAGAGUUAGACAUGCUGAAUCACAUUGCUUUCGGAGAGCGAAGGAUGAAUUCUUUUGUGCUGUCGUGAACCUGGCAUACAAUGUAGAUUUCUGUGUGGUACAAUCUACAGCUACAUUGUCUGCUGGGUUUCAGGCCAGCGGAAAUAUUCUGCUCUGCUUAGAAAUCAAAAAGGUGAGUCGUUAAGUCGUUAUGCAUGCUUGAAAAAGACUUAUUCCUAUCAUGAGAAUUAAAUAAUAAAAGUGCUGAAAGUAUAAAAACUAUGAUGUCCAAUUAUUUCUCCUCGUGUUUAUUCUUACCGUGGGUUCAGCUUGAUAUUCGGAAGGCUGCACGGAUUCUGUCCAAUGACAGACUGUCAAAUUUCACCAGGGAUUAAAAAGGCAUCCAAGAUAUUUCAGCCGUACACCCAGAAGAGCUUCUUAUCACUAUUUCCCAUCUGCGUCUGAAUACAACCACCCACAACACACACACACACACACACACACACACA